AUGCUCAUUCAAGUUGUACAGCGUAGGCAUGGAAUCAAGGCAGAUCUGGCACGUGUGGCUUUGCUGAGGUUUAUCUGCAUGAAUGGUCUUCAGGUGGAUCUCCAGAACAGCAAGGCUGUUGAAGUCACGCUUCGAGCAGUAUGGGCAGCUAUGACACGAGCCAAGUUCAGAAAUAUACACAUGAAGCUAAAAGAAAUAAAAUCAAGUCUUAAAAAAACAUGUCUUUUUUAGGACAGAGACAUGUAGCACAUCACAGAUCGCCAGAAGCAAGCAGCUCUGUCUCCUCAGCAUACACCGAUGAAGGCAAUGGUGGACUAUGAAUCACCAGCUCUUGGGUCAGUGAUGGCAUUUCGUGCUGACACCGCACCCGUCGGAGCAGCGCCGCAACCAGUCGGCUGUGUCUGAAACCCGGCGUGCAGGAGUACUCCAACGCGCUUUGCUACACAACAGAAAAGGGCUUCUACAGCUUAGAAUUAUCCCUACAAAAAUAUCACGUAACUAGCCCCAGAACUGGUCAGCACAUCCUCACUUAGGCAUAAGAGAGGCACUAGAAGCUCAGGCUGCCCCGAAGAGCUCCCUAUGCAACUCAGGAACAUCGGCUUCUUCACAAAGCAUUCUUGAUACUUGUCUUAUUUCAAGGCAUUGUUGUAUUUAUAUAUAUAUAUAUAUAUUUAUAUGUAUAUAUAAUGCUGAAAGUGAAACUGACUUGGGAUAAAAAAGCCUAGGAGGUGCUAAUACAAGGGGCACCGCCGGCAGUUCUCUCAUGAUUACAAGCAGAAUGCAGCGAUACCUACUGACAUGCUUAUGCAGCAGGCAUUUGUGGUGCACCAAAGAACCAGCAGUUACUGACUCUUUCUCCAACUUCUCAGCUUUGCACUGCCUUUUUUAAGCAAGGUUUUUAAAACAGAAAGGAGGACGUCUGGCUCAAUGGAAAAUACAUAUAAUCUAUUUUUUCUUCUCAUGAAUAGAGCAACUUGGUAUUUAGAAUACCAAAUCAGCACACGAUGUCGUGCAGAAUUUCAAACAUGAAAUUUGCCGGGAUGUCUGCUGCAGAUAAACUGUUACACAUAGCCAGUUUAAACCUAGUCGUCUUUGUUUAAACCUUUCUUUUGUGAUCAAAGAUGCAUUUAAUUGGUCUUUUUUUAUGCUGUAAGUUAAAAGAACACAGAAAAAUGUCUAUUGAAGCUUAGCUGAUACACAGAAACUUGUUAAGUCAGCGUUACCCAUCCGGAGCCCUGGUCUGCCAUUAGCAAGGAUGUCAAGACUCAAUAAUGGCCAUCGAUAGGAUGAGACUUAAUUUAACACACAUGAUAAAACCAGAAAGUUACUUUUAACAUUGUUGUUCUUACAUCAAACAGUCUGUAUUUUAGAGGUAACAAAAAAUUAAUAUAUCACUGAAUAAGUUAUUUCUCACCUCGAUAAAUGGCAUAAUAAGGGGUGGAGGAGAAAGUUUUAUGUUAGAUCUAGGAAUAAACAAAAUGCUUUCAGGGUUGAAUCACUGUUUUUCUUUACUCCCUUUGGAAAAGCAGCAGAUACUAUAUUCUGCUGUGCAUCAUGGACUUGGGACUGAAAACAGCUGCACUCUAAUUACAUGUAAAGUGUACCAAAACAUUCCUUUUAUCACAGACUGUAAAUCUGUUAGCAUCUGUCUCUCCUUUGUUUCUUCCACAAGAUACAAGCUUGUUUCUACAUUUUUCUCACCUGUAGCGGUGAUUAAAAUUCAUUAUAAAUGAAAGGAGUGAACACUAAAACAAGUUCCUCUGUGUACAGUUCUAAACUCAAAUUAGAAACAGCUGUUUGCUAAUUCAUGCAGUGAUGUUUUGUCGUGCUCUGUGAAUCAAUAAUAACUCACCCUAUUUCUCCAGAAAUGUUAGGAUUAGACUUAGAUUUUGCUUAGCCAUUUGCUCUUCAGAAAUGCUCAAAUACACAUUCUGUCUUUUUUAAGCGAGAUUAGAGGAUGAUACCGGCAGAACCAUCAAUGAAUUAAGAAGAAGAUCUUAAUAGCUUGCUGCUUGUGCUUACCCUGCUUCCUAGAGGGUCCUGUGCCAUCCUUGCCAGCUUUGAUACCUACAGAGCAUUUAGCAAGAAGGCUUAUUGUAAGACGGAUGUAAACGAACCAAACUGUAUUGGGGUCACGUGCACGCGUCGUGGAUGCAACAGUCACACAGAGAACACUAUAAAAUCAGAGGUUGGGCUACGACGCGCACAGCUUCCAAACACAAGGA